UAGACCCUGACAGAGGCCUAUUGUAACCCCAU
rnacentral:piRNA from 1 species